AGUUAAAUAGCUUAGUGAAAAGUAUGUGUUUUGAAAGCACAGGACAGAAGUUUAAAUCUUCUAUUAACUU
rnacentral:tRNA from 1 species